GCCCCGGUGUCCUAGUGGUUAGAGCGUUCGCCUCGGAUGCGGGAGAUCGUGGAUUCGAUCCCCAGUCGUGUCA